UGGGGAAUUUUCCGCAAUGGGCGAAAGCCUGACGGAGCAACGCCGCGUGAGGGAUGAAGGCCUCUGGGCCGUAAACCUCUUUUCUCAAGGAAGAAGAUCUGACGGUACUUGAGGAAUAAGCCACGGCUAAUUCCGUGCCAGCAGCCGCGGUAAUACGGGAGUGGCAAGCGUUAUCCGGAAUUAUUGGGCGUAAAGCGUCCGCAGGCGGCCUCGUAAGUCUGUCGUUAAAGCGUGGAGCUUAACUCCAUUUCAGCGAUGAAAACUGCGAGGCUAGAGUGUGGUAGGGGCAGAGGGAAUUCCCGGUGUAGCGGUGAAAUGCGUAGAUAUCGGGAAGAACACCAGUGGCGAAGGCGCUCUGCUGGGCCAUAACUGACGCUCAUGGACGAAAGCCAGGGGAGCGAAAGGGAUUAGAUACCCCUGUAGU
rnacentral:rRNA from 1 species